rnacentral:rRNA from 1 species
AUUGAACGCUGGCGGAAUGCUUUACACAUGCAAGUCGAACGGUAGAGGGGCAACCCUUGAGAGUGGCGAACGGGUGAGUAAUGUAUCGGAACAUGCCCAGUCGUGGGGGAUAACGUAGCGAAAGUUACGCUAAUACCGCAUACGAUCUAUGGAUGAAAGCGGGGGAUCGCAAGACCUCGCGCGAUUGGAGUGGCCGAUAUCAGAUUAGGUAGUUGGUGGGGUAAAGGCCUACCAAGCCGACGAUCUGUAGCUGGUCUGAGAGGACGACCAGCCACACUGGGACUGAGACACGGCCCAGACUCCUACGGGAGGCAGCAGUGGGGAGUUUUGGACAAUGGGCGCAAGCCUGAUCCAGCCAUUCCGCGUGCAGGAAGAAGGCCUUCGGGUUGUAAACUGCUUUUGUACGGAACGAAACGCGCUGAGCUAAUACCUCGGCGUAAUGACGGUACCGUAAGAAUAAGCACCGGCUAACUACGUGCCAACAGCAGCCGCAG